rnacentral:rRNA from 1 species
AUUGAACGCUGGCGGCAGGCCUAACACAUGCAAGUCGAGCGGUAGCACAGAGAGCUUGCUCUCGGGUGACGAGCGGCGGACGGGUGAGUAAUGUCUGGGAAACUGCCUGAUGGAGGGGGAUAACUACUGGAAACGGUAGCUAAUACCGCAUAACGUCGCAAGACCAAAGUGGGGGACCUUCGGGCCUCAUGCCAUCAGAUGUGCCCAGAUGGGAUUAGCUGGUAGGGGGGGUAACGGCUCACCUAGGCGACGAUCCCUAGCUGGUCUGAGAGGAUGACCAGCCACACUGGAACUGAGACACGGUCCAGACUCCUACGGGAGGCAGCAGUGGGGAAUAUUGCACAAUGGGCGCAAGCCUGAUGCAGCCAUGCCGCGUGUGUGAAGAAGGCCUUCGGGUUGUAAAGCACUUUCAGCGGGGAGGAAGGCGGUGAGGUUAAUAACCUCACUGAUUGACGUUACCCGCAGAAGAAGCACCGGCUAACUCCGUGCCAGCAGCCGCCGUAA